rnacentral:lncRNA from 10 species
GCCUCAACAAUAUCUUCUAUCCCAUACAUUCUUCGGCAAUGUGACCUUGUCACUCUCCUCUCAAGAAGUGGAGUCUAAUUCACCUACCCUCAAAUUUGGUUUGGUUUUAGUGACUCCCUUAUACCAAUAGAUGGUGAUAAAAGUGACUACAUUGUGAUUUCUUUUUCUUUUUUUCUUAGAGACAGGGUCUCACUCUGUUGCCCAGGCUGGAGUGCAACGGUGCAAUCAUAGCUCACUGCAGACUCGAACUCCUGAGCUCAAGAGAUCCUCCUGUUUCGGCAUCCCAAAGUGCUAGGAUUACAGGCAUGAGACACUGCAUGCAGCCAAGAACAUAUGUUGACCUAAAACUGGCAUUCUGUGAUUGUAAUGGAAAACAGAUAAAGCAGGAGGAAGAUGUAGGAAGAUGAAAUUUCAAGAAGAUUGACUCCACCAGAAUAAGACGAAAGCAAGAGAGAGUGUGAAUUAAGAGUAAAGAGGAAGAAAUGAGAUGCAAGAAAGAAGCAAUCCAACACGAGAGAAAUAAAAAGGGUCCUCAGGAGGAUGAUAAAAAGAGGUCCUUGAAUGACAGCUAUGUGUCAGAUGCAGAGGACAGUCAAUCCAGAUGGGAGCAAUGUGACACAAGAUGCAGACAUCACAGGAGCCAUCUCGAAGAUACCCUUUGCCAUUGGACCAUCUUUUUGAGGCCUGGUGAAUCUGACCUAGAUUUUGUCUGUGCUUGGCACAUCUUGACUAUGUACCAAUGGAGUUUCUGCUCUCCUCACCAUGACAAGCAGAAUUCUAAAAUGACCUCCAUAAUCUCCACCCCCUAGUUAUGAGUAGGUUUAUGUCACCUUGCAUGACACAAAGUUUUGUAGAUGUAAUUAAGGCGACUAAUCAGUUGACUUUAAGACAAAGGAUUAUCCUGGUAAACCUGACUUAAUCACAUGAGCCCUUUAAAGGCAUUUUAAGAGCAUUUUCUCUGGCUGGUAGCAGAAGAGAAAGCCAGAGAGAUUCUAAGCACAAGGGAGACUCAACAUAAGGGAGACUCAUCAUAAGGAAGAGUCUCCAAUGCUGAGUGGAGGGGGCCACCUGAGAGCAGCCUCUACGAGCUGGCAGCAGUCCCCACUGACAGCCAGAAAGAAAGUGAAGGCCAGGCACAGUGGCUCACGCCUGUAAUCCCAAUACUUUGGGAGGCCAAGCGGGCAGAUCACUUGAGGUCAGGAGUUCAAGACCAGCCUGGCCAACAUGGUGAAACCCCGUCUCUACUGAAAAUACAAAAAUUAGCCAGGCAUGUUGGCAGAUGCCUGUAAUCCCAAGUACUUGGGAGGCUAAGGCAGGAGAAUCGCUUGAACCCAGGAGGUGGAGGUUGCUGUGAGCCCAGACUGUGCCAUUGCACUCCAGCCUGGGCAACAGAGAGAAACUCUGUUAAAAAAGAAAGAAAGAAAGAAAGAGAGAGAGAGAGGGAGGGAGGGAGGGAGGGAGGGGGAAGGGGAGGGGAGGGGAGGGGAGGAGAGGAGAGGAGGAGCCUCCAGUGCUGCACCUGCAAGGAAAUGAACUCUGCUAACAACUUGAGCUACCUUGGAAAUGAAUCUUUCCCUAGGGGAGCCUCCAGAGGAGGAGGCAGCCAACCAAUGUCUUGAUUUCAGCCUAAUGAGACCUUGAGGAGAGGAACCAGCUAAAAUGUGCCAGGCUCCUCACCUGUAAAAACUAUGAGACAAUAAACGUAUGUUGUUUUAAGCUGCUGCAUUGGUGAUAAUUUAUUAUGUGGCAAUAGAAGACUAACACACCCACCAUGACCUGCUGUCUUCACGAACUGAGGAAAUUCACCUUACCCCAUAGAAGGGGUUUGCUUUGAUUUCUUCUUGAAAGUAGGUAAGAAACCAUGGCGAGCUUGGGAGCUGCAGAUAGAGAGUCUCCCACUUCUUGACUAUGUUUCCGCAGAUAUCCAUUACCUGACCCAAACUGCAGCCCUGCCAGAUGUCCCAGCUGUGAUAUAUCCUGUGUUUCCCAGAACUCACUCUUGACCCUGACCGCAGACUUCCCAAAAGGAGCUCUUGCAUUCUCUCAGGAACGCUGCCACUGAACGUGACCCAGAGCUUAUCUUUUGAGAGCCUGCUGCAAUGGUUGGGCUUGCCACUCAGUUGUCAAAAAUAAGCAAUAUAAGGCCAGGAGCCAUGGCUCACACCUGUAAUCCUAGCACUUUGGGAGGCUGAGGCAGGCAGAUCACUUGAGUCCAGGAGUUCAAGACUAGCCUGGGCAACGUGGCGCAACCCUGUCUCUACCAAAAAAGAAAAUACAAAAAUUAGCCGGGCAUGACGGUGCAUGCCUGUAGUCCCAGCUAAUUGAGGAGCUGAGGUGGGAGGACUGCUGAAGCCUGGGAGGUCAAGGCUGCAGUGAGAUGUGACUGUGCCACUACACUCCAGCCUGAGCAACAGAUCAAGACUCUCAAAAUAACAACAACAAAGAUAUUUUUUGUUCUCAUCAAAUACAAAAAAUAAACAAUCUAAUAUUUAAGGAUACAUAUAGGUGGUAAAACUAUAAAGCAAAGCAAGAAAUAAUUAUCAAAAAAUCAGGAUAGUGGUUAUCUCUUGAGGAGGAAGAAGAAGAUGAUGAUUAAAGUAGAGCACGCAGAGGAUUUUCAAGUCACUGGCAAAGUUUUACAUGUUCAUCUGGAUAACAGGUACACAGGUGUUCAUUUUACCAUUAUUCUAUAAACUCUCUGUAUUUUUAUACAGUCUUCUGUGGUAUUAUGCUUAACACAUAAAUGCUUAAUAAAAGAUAGCGUUAUUAUAAAUUGAGGAAAUGCAAGACAUGAAACUACAAAUUAAAAUUCCAUCCGGCCGG